UUCCUCAAGAGGAAAACAACAGUCACAAGACUCUUCUUGGAGAUUGAGAAAUAAACCAAUUCCAAGGUACCAAACAUAUCAAACAGAGAGCUGGGGACUUUGAGGGGAGGCACUUCCACGACUAUGCAACCACCAAAUAAAGGUGAUGGGGAUCUGAAAACCAAAUAAAUGUUUCACUGGAUAUCUAAAAUCCAAUCACAAAAAUGCAAGUUAAGGAUGAAAAUAUCAAUGAAGGCCUCAGCUGGAGAGGGCACAAUGAAUUGCAAAGAGAACAACACAUCAACUCUACUAGGG
rnacentral:lncRNA from 1 species